AUGCUUAGACUCCAAGUUACCCCAAGUUUCUCCUACAAUUUCUCCAUGACGUGGAAGCGCUUCUUCAAGGAUUUUAAGGUUUUAGACUCCUAUAAAUACCCAUUCACUUCAUCAUUUCAGGGCAUCCAAGCUUAUGCAUGCUUAAGCCAUAUACUGUCAAUUUGUAAAGCAAUAAUCUCUUCACAUUGGAGGAUUAUUGUGUCGUGGAUUGAGUCUGUAUCAAGUUUGGAGCACUCCUGUACAUGUUUUAUUUCAAGACUUUUACUUCUUCUGUUUACAUUCCGUCAAGAUUUACUUCCAGUCAUUGUAGUUGUAUCAUAUUCA